rnacentral:tRNA from 1 species
GCGGAUUUAGCUCAGCGGCAUAAGCACCUGCCUUGCAAGCAGGCGGUCAUGAGUUCAAUCCCCAGUACCGCA